rnacentral:rRNA from 1 species
UACGUAGGGGGCAAGCGUUGUCCGGAAUCACUGGGCGUAAAGCGCGCGCAGGCGGUCAUCUACGUCUGGGGUGAAAGCCCGGAGCUCAACUCCGGGACUGCCUUGGAUACGGGAUGACUUGAGGAUCGGAGAGGCAAGGGGAAUUCCACGUGUAGCGGUGAAAUGCGUAGAGAUGUGGAGGAACACCUGUGGCGAAGGCGGGUCUCUGGACAGUUCCUGACGCUGAGGCACGAAGGCCAGGGGAGCAAACGGG